CGGUAUGGGCGAGCCUGAUGGAGCACGCCGCGUGUGUGAUGAAGGGUUUCGGCUCGUAAAACACUGUUGUAAGAGAAGAAUGACAUUGAGAGUAACUGUUCAAUGUGUGACGGUAUCUUACCAGAAAGGAACGGCUAAAUACGUGCCAGCAGCCGCGGUAAUU
rnacentral:rRNA from 1 species